rnacentral:rRNA from 1 species
UACGUGAGGGUGCAAGCGUUAAUCGGAAUUACUGGGACGUAAAGCGUGCGCAGGCGUUGUGCAAGACAGAAUGUGAAAUGCCCCGGGCUCAACCCUGGGAAUUGCAUUUGUGUACUAGCACGGCUAGAGUGUGUCAGAGGGGGGUAAGGAAUUCCACGUGUAGCAGUGAAAUGCGUAGAGAGUGUGGAGGAAUACCGAGUGGCGAAGGCAGCCCCCCUGGGAUAACACUGACGCUCAUGCGAACGAAAGGCGUGGGGAGCAAACAAGG